UGGGGAAUCUUGCACAAUGGGGGAAACCCUGAUGCAGCGACGCCGCGUGAGCGAUGAAGGUUUUCGAAUCGUAAAGCUCUGUCCUAUGGGAAGAUAAUGACGGUACCAUGGGAGGAAGCCCCGGCUAACUACGUGCCAGCAGCCGCGGUAAUACGUAGGGGGCGAGCGUUGUCCGGAAUUACUGGGCGUAAAGAGCUUGUAGGCGGUUUGUCGCGUCGAUAGUGCAAACUCAGUGCUUAACGCUGAGCCUGCUGUUGAUACGGGCAGACUAGAGGAAGGUAGGGGAGAAUGGAAUUCCCGGUGGAGCGGUGGAAUGCGCAGAUAUCGGGAGGAACACCGGUGGCGAAGGCGGUUCUCUGGGCCUUUCCUGACGCUGAGAAGCGAAAGCGUGGGGAGCGAACAGG
rnacentral:rRNA from 1 species